UCAUUUGACGUUAGCUGCAGAAGAAGCACCGGCUAACUCCGUGCCAGCAGCCGCGGUAAUACGGAGGGUGCGAGCGUUAAUCGGAAUUACUGGGCGUAAAGCGCAUGCAGGUGGUUUGUUAAGUCAGAUGUGAAAGCCCGGGGCUCAACCUCGGAAUAGCAUUUGAAACUGGCAGACUAGAGUACUGUAGAGGGGGGUAGAAUUUCAGGUGUAGCGGUGAAAUGCGUAGAGAUCUGAAGGAAUACCGGUGGCGAAGGCGGCCCCCUGGACAGAUACUGACACUCAGAUGCGAAAGCGUGGGGAGCAAACAGGAUUAGAUACCCUGGUAGUCCACGCCGUAAACGAUGUCUACUUGGAGGUUGUGGCCUUGAGCCGUGGCUUUCGGAGCUAACGCGUUAAGUAGACCGCCUGGGGAGUACGGUCGCAAGAUUAAAACUCAAAUGAAUUGACGGGGGCCCGCACAAGCGGUGGAGCAUGUGGUUUAAUUCGAUGCAACGCGAAGAACCUUACCUACUCUUGACAUCC
rnacentral:rRNA from 1 species